UCUACGAGUCGGUUCCGUUCAAUCACCACAAACAGUUGCCUCAAGGAAUCGAUUCAAGGAACCGACUCCUUCACAAACGACACAUCAUGUCUGUCAGAGGAAAGUCGGCGUGGAUGAAUGUGAUCUGCGAGUCGACUCCCUUCGUUCAUUUCAAACAGCUGACUGAAAGAACCGAAUGAAAGAACCGACUCCUUCACAAACGACACAUCACUGCCUUUUACCUGACCAGAGGAAACUCAGCUUGGAUGAAUAAGCCACUCGUUGGUGGAGAAUAAAUGGUUGGAAUUUGUCCGAGUUGUCGCUUUUCUGUGGUGUUCUACCCAUUUGGGGCUGCUCGAUGCUGAAAUGUCGCCACAUCAGACUGUUUGUGAUCGUGAUUCUGUCUUUAUACAUCGUCUGGACUCUUCCAUGAAGAAACUGGGGAAGGAGCUGACCACCACCAUCAGCUGACCUGCUCGAAGGACUUCAGGCCGCCCUCUUUCCCCAACCGCAUGAGGUCCUCUAGAAUGGCAUUUUUCACUUCCUGUCCAAAUAGGCAGAAAAAAAAGGGAAGUCUCACUUUAAACCACACACCAGACACACAGUAAUAUUCCACUGUGCUGUAGAACACAAAUGUUUAACACUCAUCCAUGCUUUUGUUUCUUUCUCACCCAGAUUACUUUAAUGCACUAUUACAGACCAGCUCCACUUUACUGGUCAGAAGGAGCUGAUUAAUUUCCUGUGUCAUGAUUAUAUCAGAGUGCUCUGCUUACACAGCUCGUGGUAGGAGCCCACAAGGCCUCUUUUCUUGGCCCAGCCUGGGAGGAUGUCAGGACUGUCUCCAUGAACGAAGACCUGAGCCACGGGGUCGCUGUGGAUGUAGAUGUUCUCGAUCUUCUCAGGAGCGAUGUACUCUCCCUGAGCCAGUUUAAAGAUGUGCUUCUUCCUGUCUAUGAUCUUCAGCGUGCCGUUCUGCGACAUAUGAUUAAAGAGGCUCUCCGAGUCCAGACAGCCCAAAAAUAAACCCAUAAGUGGCUGAAGAAUGUGGAAUUUACCGGAAGCCAUUUGCCGAUAUCACCCGUGUGCAGCCAGCCAUCUAUAUCGAUGGCCUCUGCCGUCUUCUCUGGAUCUUUCAGAGCUGCGUUUGCUCAAUCCAUCACAGUGAUGCUGGCAGCCCAUGUUCGCCAUAUUAUUUAUUGAUAGCGAGGAGAAAGUUAUGUGACGGAAGGAAGUAUGUGUAAUAUUUCACCUGGCAGCCGAGAGCAGCCCGCAGGAACGUCAGCACGGUGGGGGAAACGGGAGCGGCGCCGGUGAUCAUCAGCCUCACACGUCCACCCAGACUCACCUACGGAGAAAAAUGGUGGUUACUGGUACUUAAUCACAAUACAUGGAAUAGAUUUACUGUUUAGUGUUUUAAUCUGUCAAAAAUGUUCAGAUAGCUAAACAUUUAUCACUUCUCAUUUGCACCAAAUUCCAGAAGGUUCCCUAGUAAGCGUAUUGUGCGCUACAUAUGGUGUGUAAGAUGUGAUUCUCUAGCCAGUUAUGCAGGAAGUACAAAGCCAUUUGGGGUUUAUCUAUUUUAGAGCUGAUCUACAUUCGUCUGGCUUGUCUACAGCAUGUUCCAUCACUGUGCUGGUAUUGUCCCUGGUCUUUCUUAACCAGCUUGUUAACUAUACAGAUGAGUUUGUCCCACAUGCUGUCCUUCCUCACGAUGCCGCUGCGCAGCUCCGACUCUUUCCUCCUGGUGGCGAAGUCGAGCAGCCAGCGCUUCAGCGGAGUGUUCGCCUGCCCAAAGAUCUGAACACAAGAGAGACACAAGAGCGGCUGGUGAGGAAACGACUGUUUAUAGCUGCUACAGCGUAAGCAGGAACAGGAACUAACCACUCUUGCAGACGCUGCACAACAACUGUAACUAUUAACAUAUAAAUUGUAGUGCAGCAGAAGAGAAAUAAAAGGACUUCCUGUCAUAAAAAUAUCUUCAAAUUUAUGGUCAUUAAAAGAUUAUAAUAAAACAUAUAAAAUUAAGCCGAUUUCUACAAUUUUGUAUUAAUUUCAUGCUUAAAAUCUUGAACAGCUCUAUCAUGAAAGAUGAAAAAUCAUUUUAUUUUCAUGUAUAAAAAAAAAAUACAUGAAAGUAAUUAUGUAUAGAAAUAGUCUUAUUAUCUUACAUUUGUGUGUCAUAAUGAGAAAUAUAAGAUGAAUUACACUAUAUUAAAGAUGUACUUGAUAUUUUUUUGCAACCAGAGUGCAAUUCACUCGGCUCCCGGCACUUCAAACUGAAGUGAAGUGAAGACUAGUCUAAACAUUGAUGUCUUGUGCGAAUAGUUUGCGGUAAUAGUUUGUGGUAAUAGUUUGUCACAAAACAAAUCCACGCUGAACGAAUGAAUUUCUUCUAAGAGGAAUAUGUCUAUAUCUGAGCAUGAAAUGGUUACAGAAUUAUGAAAGCAGAAAGAUGAAGUGUGAAAAAUGCCUACACAUGACUGUUUUAUUCAUCAGGUUCGAAGUGUUAAAAUAUGCUAAUGAAUUCCCAGUGGCUUUAAACCGUGUGUCCUGAUACGAACCCUGCAUCAGAAAAGAUCAG